rnacentral:rRNA from 1 species
UACGGAGGGUGCGAGCGUUAUCCGGAUUCACUGGGUUUAAAGGGUGCGUAGGUGGGCUUGUAAGUCAGUGGUGAAAUCUCCGGGCUUAACCUGGAAACUGCCAUUGAUACUACAGGUCUUGAAUUUUCUGGAGGUAAGCGGAAUAUGUCAUGUAGCGGUGAAAUGCUUAGAUAUGUUACAGAACACCAAUUGCGAAGGCAGCUUACUAUGCGAUGAUUGACGCUGAGGCACGAAAGCGUGGGGAGCAAACAGG